GUGAGGAAUAUUGCGCAAUGGACGAAAGUCUGACGCAGCCAUGCCGCGUGAAGGAUUGACGGCCCUAUGGGUUGUAAACUUCUUUUGUAUAGGAAUAAACCCUCGUUCGUGAACGAGGCUGAAGGUACUAUAAGAAUAAGCACCGGCUAACUCCGUGCCAGCAGCCGCGGUAAUACGGAGGGUGCAAGCGUUAUCCGGAGUUAUUGGGUUUAAAGGGUCCGUAGGCGGAUCGUUAAGUCAGUGGUGAAAUCCUACCGCUCAACGGUAGAACUGCCAUUGAUACUGGCGAUCUUGAGUAUGUAUGAAGUUGGCGGAAUGUGUGGUGUAGCGGUGAAAUGCUUAGAUAUCACACAGAACACCGAUUGCGAAGGCAGCUGACUAAUACACAACUGACGCUGAGGGACGAAAGUGUGGGGAUCAAACAGGAUUAGAAACCCGGGUAGUCC
rnacentral:rRNA from 1 species